rnacentral:rRNA from 1 species
GACGAACGCUGGCGGCGUGCUUAACACAUGCAAGUCGAGCGGUAAGGCCCUUUCGGGGGUACACGAGCGGCGAACGGGUGAGUAACACGUGGGUGACCUGCCCUCAGCUCGUGGGAUAAGCCUGGGAAACCGGGUCUAAUACUGGAUAUGACUCCAUGACGCAUGUUGUGGGGUGGAAAGCCUUGUGCGGCUGAGGAUGGGCCCGCGGCCUAUCAGCUUGUUGGUGGGGUGAUGGCCUACCAAGGCGACGACGGGUAGCCGGCCUGAGAGGGCGACCGGCCACGACUGGGACUGA